AUACGGAGGGUGCAAGCGUUAUUCGGAAUCACUGGGCGUAAAGGACACGUAGGCGGGAAGCCAAGUCUGAUGUGAAAUCCUACAGCUUAACUGUAGAACUGCAUUGGAAACUGGUUACCUAGAGUAUGGGAGGGGGAGAUGGAAUUAGUGGUGUAGGGGUAAAAUCCGUAGAUAUCACUAGGAAUACCUAAAGCGAAGGCGAUCUCCUGGAACAUUACUGACGCUAAGGUGUGAAAGCGAGGGGAGCAAACGGGAUUAGAAACCCUAGUAGUCC
rnacentral:rRNA from 1 species